AUACGGAGGUUGCAAGCGUUAAUCGGAAUUACUGGGCGUAAAGGGCGCGUAGGCGGUCUAUCAAGUCAGGUGUGAAAUCCCACGGCUCAACCGUGGAGGUGCAUCUGAAACUGAUAGACUUGAGUAUGGGAGAGGAAAGUGGAAUUCCCGGUGUAGAGGUGAAAUUCGUAGAUAUCGGGAGGAACACCAGUGGCGAAGGCGACUUUCUGGACCAAUACUGACGCUGAGGCGCGAAAGCGUGGGGAGCAAACAGGAUUAGAAACCCUAGUAGUCC
rnacentral:rRNA from 1 species